rnacentral:rRNA from 1 species
UACGUAGGGGCCUAGCGUUGUCCGGAAUUAUUGGGCGUAAAGAGCUCGUAGGCGGUUUGUUGCGUCGGCUGUGAAAUCCCGAGGCUCAACCUCGGGUCUGCAGUCGAUACGAGCAAACUAGAGUGUUGCAGGGGAGACUGGAAUUCCUGGUGUAGCGGUGAAAUGCGCAGAUAUCAGGAGGAACACCGGUGGCGAAGGCGGGUCUCUGGGCAACAACUGACGCUGAGGAGCGAAAGCGUGGGGAGCGAACAGG